GGGUUGGCUCAGUGAUUAGGGCUUAGGUCUCGUACCCGAAAGGUAGCGGGAUCGAAUCCCGUUGGAGGCUG
rnacentral:tRNA from 1 species